AAAGACAAAGCGACCCAAUCCGUACGUGGGAAAGCAGUACACCAUUCGGAUAUAGGCAGCAUACACACCGCCGUUGGCCGGGACGGGCAAAGUAAACAAAUGAUCGUAUAGUGACUAGCUAGCAAGCACGCUAGUAGAGCCAGGAGAGGGCUGGAAAGAUGGCAUCGGCUGAUCAACCUGAUCCCCAAACUCAGCCUGGCGUUCCGUCCGGAGACGAUGCAGCGGUCCCCAGAGAAGCGCUGAUAUCCACAGCCGUCAAAUUCCUCCAGAACCAGAGAGUACGGCAAAGCCCCCUGGACACCAGAAGAGCUUUCCUGGUGAAGAAAGGACUGACCGGUGAGGAGGUGGAGUUGGCCCUGCAGCGUUCGGGCAGCACAGAUGACAGCCAGGCCCUCAGCCCUCUGGGGCCUUCAUACCCGCUCCACCCCCCCCACCUGGCUCCUGUACCGCACAGUUCCCUAGGUUACCGAUGGAGAGAUUACGGAGCCCUGACUGUCUUCAUGGUGGGCGUGGCCUUUGGGUUCCAUCACCUGUACCGGAAAUACAUCCUCCCCCUCAUCGUGGGCAGUCGAGAAGACAAGCAACAUCUGCAGAGGAUGGAGAGCAGCGUUGCGGCCAUGAGUGGCACGGUGACACAGACAGUGUCCCAGCUCCAACAGACCCUGGCUACGGUUCAAGACCUUCUGGUCCAGCAACAGGAGAAGAUCCAGGGCCUGCCCCAGGAACUGGUCUCUUCUGAGGCUUCCAUGGCAACCAACCGAAUUCUGGACACCCAGACCAUCGCGGAGCUGAAGGCAGAGAUAGCGUCUCUGAAAGGCUUGCUGCUCAGCAGGAGGCAGUUUCCUGCCUCUCCCUCCGUCCCAAAGAUCCCGUCGUGGCAGAUCCCCCUGAAGCCCUCCCCCGUGCCCCCCUCCCCAUCCCUCAACCAGUCCAACAGCAGCAGCGACAUCUCCCCCGUCAGCAACGACUCCGCCUCCUGCUCCCCCAUCAAAGAUGGCCGCCACAGCCCCCAGAAUGCCCUGGGGGGGCCCGACGGGGCCCACGCCGUCAACGGAGACUUGGGCCCCGGGGGUCUAGGGGCCUCCUUGCCUCUGGACCUCAAGGACCAGGUCCGCAUGGAGGUCCAGGGAGAGGAGGAGAAGAAAGAAGAGGAUGAUGAGGAGAAGGAGGAUGAGGAUGAGGAAGAGGAUGCGGGCCACGUGGACGAAGAUGAGGUGCUCAGUGUGCAGACUGAGGACAGGCGCGGAGGCGAUGGACAGAUCAACGAACAAGUGGACAAACUACGCAAGCCAGAGGGGGCGAGCAACGAGAGCGAGGUAGAUUAGGGCCCCGGUACCCAAACGACUACUACAUCAACCCCCGUCCCUUUACGUGUGGUUUUCAUUUCAGCCGAAGGUCCCUCUUCUCCUGCACUGCUUUUUGUCUUUUCUCUCUGUACCUGUGUUGAGUCUCUUUCUCUGUCGCCAUCAGCCAUGUUCCUAGAGCAGGAAAACAGCACACACACACUUUAGUGACGCAGCAAAACGGAACAGUCGUCGCCUCGCAUUCACGAUGACACGCACCUCAGUUCCAUCAUCUUUUCAUCGUGCAACCAUAGGCUUGCCUAGGCAAGGAAAACCGUGUCAACUUUGAGUGGGAUGAUGAAAAACAGCAAUAUUCGAUAAAGAUCAUAGGUAUAUGUAUGUUUAGUAAGUGUUUCCUCACUCUCUCUCUCUCUGGGACUCCUGUUUCUGUCUCGCCCGUACAGUUCAUCUUAACGGCAACACAACCUCAAAGGUAGCUUAGAUGUCCACGUUAUAAAGCGGAGUUUCAUCAACUUCCUGGACACCAAAGAAGUAAAAAAUGUGUUCCUCUUCCAUACUUCAUUUCUACGACCAUGGCCUGGUGGGCUAGUUUUACCGUCUGACAAUCACCAGGAGAGCCCGGGGCGUGUGGAGCACGUGGCAAACAGGCCAGGCCUGGAGAUCCUUCCCUCUUUUAUGUGUCCCCCCGCGUUGGUGUCAGUCUGUCAAUAAUUCACCAGGCCAGGAGGGUGGCAUUUGGGUGAAAUGAAGCCCUUGCAGUUUGAGAUUAGAAUGCAGCGGGCGCUUUUGUUCCGUCCCAGAGUUCCGACAGCUCUCCUACAGUAGGCCCACAUGAGAGGAAUAAAGAGAACCGUUUUCUUUGUAUAUCUUAUUUCCCUCCCUUUCCCUUUUGUGGAGGCUGAGUGGUGCACAUCUCUAUAUUCAGCGAGAGAAAGAGAAAGUGACAGAUGGGAAGAGACGAGACAGAGAGAGAGACAGAGAGAGAGAGAGAGAGAGAGAGAGAGAGAGAGAGAGAGAGAGAGGUUUGGAGAGAACGAGAGAGGAUCCAUUCUGUCUGUUGAGCUCCAUCCCUCGUCUCCAGCAGGGCGGCUGAUUUGGUUUGUGAAGUAUGUUAAUAAUCAAAUGAUCAACAAAUAACAGAUGUAUUAGUUCAUGCAGCUUGAAAUGUCAAGGAGGCUAAAAGCGGAAAUCUAAUACUGAAAGCCCCUGUUGCAUUAUAUUAUAUUUCACGACAAACCCUCCGGUCCAAAUUAUAUAGGGCCUCCCACAGUGAGUAAUCUUCACGCAAAACGGGCACCAAUAUUUUGUAAUUAAACCGCGGGAGCAGCAAUGAAGGUUGCCACAGAACUUGUGCACGCAUUUUGUGCUGGCCUUUUUCUUCUUCUUUUCAGGGGUCUGGCCCAGGAAGAGGAGGAGGGAUGGCGGGAGGGGAGGUUGAAGAAAUAAAAAAUCCCGCUGAUUGAAACUGAAAGUAACAAAUGAAUACUUACCUUAUUAGAUUACUCACUCUCCAGCUGAGAAGAAAAGAGAGAGAGAGAAAGAAAGAAGGGUAUCGCCUCUCUUAUGGCAUUUUCCCUUAACGUCAAAUAGCCUUGAGCGUAAUAGGGUGGAGGCGACCAGUCAUACCAGGCAUACAGCCAGAGGCCUGAAUAGCUGUCAUAGACAAGAAGCAAUGCGACAGAUGAUAAAACAAAAAAUAUAACUGAAGCUAAAUACUGUAACUGACACACUUUGUGAUUGUGGUUUAUUUGAUUGAAGAGCAAAAUAUGACUGUAAAUGACGUUCACAGUGACAGAUAAGAUGGAAAAAUUGAAUUGAGAGGUUCUAAGUGUCGCCCCUGCCUUUAAACUACUGGAGUUACACUAAAUGAUCCUCAGAGUAGAAACGUACCCAUCUUAUAAUCAUAGCUGCCGUAUGAAUGAACUUCUGAUAUCUAACAGAAAUGUAUAUAAUUGUAAUAAAUUUGGUUAUUGUAUGUGAA